UACGUAGGGUCCGAGCGUUAAUCGGAAUUACUGGGCGUAAAGCGUGCGCAGGCGGUUUUGUAAGCCAGAUGUGAAAUCCCCGGGCUUAACCUGGGAACUGCAUUUGUGACUGCAUCGCUGGAGUGCGGCAGAGGGGGAUGGAAUUCCGCGUGUAGCAGUGAAAUGCGUAGAUAUGCGGAGGAACACCGAUGGCGAAGGCAAUCCCCUGGGCCUGCACUGACGCUCAUGCACGAAAGCGUGGGGAGCAAACAGG
rnacentral:rRNA from 1 species